rnacentral:rRNA from 1 species
GUAUAUGAGGUGAUUAAUUGGAGGGCAAAUCAAGUGCCAGCAGCCGCGGUAAUACUUGUUCCAAGAGUGUGUAUGAUGAUUGAUGCAGUUAAAAAGUCCGUAGUUUAUUUUUUUAAGAAGCAAUAUGGGGUGUACUGUAUAGUUGGGAGAAAGAUGAAAUGCGACGACCCUGACUGGACGAACAGAAGCGAAAGCUGUACACUUGUAUGUAUUUUUUGAACAAGGACGUAAGCUGGAGGAGCGAAGAUGAUUAGAUACCAUUGUAGUUCCAGCAGUAAACUAUGCCGACGAUGUGAUAUGAAAAUGUUAAUUUGUAUUACAUAAUAGAAAUUUGAGUUUUUUGGCUCUGGGGAUAGUAUGAUCGCAAGAUUGAAAAUUAAAGAAAUUGACGGAAGAAUACCACAAGGAGUGGAUUGUGCGGCUUAAUUUGACUCAACGCGAGGUAACUUACCAAUAUUUUAUUAUUUUGAGAGAACGGUUUUUGUUUGAGAAUGAUAAUAGUGGUGCAUGGCCGUUUUCAAUGGAUGCUGUGAAGUUUUGAUUAAUUUCAACAAGACGUGAGACCCUUAUUAUUUAUUAAAGACAGACACAAUCAGUGUAGGAAGGAAAGGAUUAAAACAGGUCCGUUAUGCCCUCUGACAUUUUGGGCUGCACGCGCAAUACAAUAGAUAUA